AUACCCCAAACGCCCUUUUCGUCUCAUUUCUGGAAAAGUUCGCCCUGUGCUACGCAGGGAUAUGCAAAGCUCGGUGUCCCUUUUUUGUGCUUCGCUAGAACCGAUUGCUUCUAUGAACGAAGAUAAGUAACUAAUCCCAGCCUUACCGCCGUUCCUCUCCUCGGUUGUCUCUUCUAUUGGGAUUCGCGUGACGAAUGGAUUUAAUUAACCCGGCAUAUCAAUAUCGGCCCCAUUAGUUUCCCAUGUGUUGCUAGGGGAAAUACAGUUAUGGAAAAUAUUACCAGAGGCCUGGGAUAUCUAGUUCUCAAAUGGCACAGAAGAACUUCCUGGUCCUUAUUUGGUUUAAGAAUAUCAGGCUUCCUACCAAUAUGUUAAGCUCUUGGGGUGGUAUUCUUCCGUAAAAAGGAUGCAGGAUGCAGCGAGUUGGCAAAAGGCAGAUAAAGAAUACGGACCGCAACCCAAUUGCGAACUUGAAGUUAUUUCACUCUAAUUUUUGGAGUUGACAUUGGAAAUACAGGAGAACAGAGAAAGAGAGGAGAGGAAUCUUUCUCUUCAUAUCUAGUGAACAUACCAGUAUCUAAGGCUGUGAUGUAGGACAGGGGACAGAGUGCAAAAUAAAAUCAGACGAUGAAAACAAACACUACAAUAAAGAGAUGGAAUGCCCAGGCGCUACAUGGAUGGAAAUGAACAGACUGGUAAAUUGACGCUUCGGCGCGUUUGGUUUGAUAGUCAGAGAGAGAAUCGGAAAUAUCCUCCAAGGCAACAGAAGGAACUAAAUAAAGCAAAAUUCGUCAAGCGUAUCGUCGUGAGAAAGGUAUAACCAUUCGAAAUCGCCCCUACAGUCCGUUUAUGGGAUCGAACUUCGAACUGGAGACGUCGACAGAUAAAAAGAGGAUGGAAAAUGGAAAAUGGAAAAUGGGGAAUGGGGAAUGAUGUCCCAAAAGAGCACGAGAACCCCAACUGGUUUCUAUCAACCAAAAAAAAUAAAAAUAAAAAAAAUAAAAAUAAAAAAAGCAGAAGAAAAAAAGGAUCCUAUCUAACUAACUACAGCAUCUCCCGAUCAUCCAGCCAAUGCGCCCGUGCAAUUCCACAACCCAGAUACAUGGAAUUAUUCCGCUGCUCGAACGCGCCGUACUGAUUUUCCAUCGGCUGAAGUAGCAGUACUGCCUCCGACCCACCUUGUCCAUGUCCCUGUUGCUGGCCAUUCGCAUCCCACAAACCAUGCCCCUUGUACACGGGGUCAACGGCCGACUUGUACGACGAGGAAGUUGACGUCGUGGCAGCAGCAGCAGCUACAGAGGACUGUGACGACUCUGCAAAUCCAUGUCUGCACGCACUCCUGGCCGCUGAUGCGUCAUAUUCGCGCUGCGCGAGCGCCUCAUAGCCGGACAUGACAUACGGUUCUGCGUGUUGACUGCCAUCCAGCUCAGUUGUGCUCCGCGCAUCCUGAUCCAUACAGUCCACGUCGAUCAUGGUGUCCCUGGCAGAUUGCAUGCGACUCGGCAAGGAAGACGAUGAAGUAGGGAUGCCGCUGUCAGAUGGAUUCGCUUUCCGGACACUCGGUCGCGAAAUCUGCCAUAGCUCAAUUAGACGCGUCUUCUGCUCGACAUCUGCAUGCGCGAAGAGGGUCAGCUGCGACGGGAACAGGGCAGUCGGGUCCACGUUGUGUUGGAAUAGUAUUUCUUCCGCUGAGAUUCCGGCUUGCUGCAUGUCGUGCAGGGUUGCAGAAAGCGUCUUUGACCAGCCUCCUGAGCCAGGGAGCUGGUGUGCGGAGUGAUGGUAAUGCUGAGAUAUGUUGUAGGCUAUUGGGCGGG
rnacentral:sRNA from 1 species